UGGGGGAAUAUUGCACAAUGGGGGGAAACCCUGAUGCAGCGACGCCGCGUGAACGAAGAAGUAUUUCGGUAUGUAAAGUUCUAUCAGCAGGGAAGAUAAUGACGGUACCUGACUAAGAAGCACCGGCUAAAUACGUGCCAGCAGCCGCGGUAAUACGUAUGGUGCAAGCGUUAUCCGGAUUUACUGGGUGUAAAGGGAGCGUAGACGGAAGUGCAAGUCAGAAGUGAAAGCCCGGGGCUUAACCCCAGGACUGCUUUUGAAACUGUGCAUCUAGAGUGCAGGAGAGGUAAGCGGAAUUCCUAGUGUAGCGGUGAAAUGCGUAGAUAUUAGGAGGAACACCGGUGACGAAGGCGGCUUACUGGACUGUAACUGACGCUGAAGCUCGAAAGUGCGGGUAUCGAACAGGAUUAGAUACCCUGGUAGU
rnacentral:rRNA from 1 species